CACCGUUUCGUUCUGUAUUUCUCUAGAUCGCCGCUGUUAUGCCCAGAAUUCGUGAUCCCCAAAGACCACCAGGGAGCCGAGUCCGAUGCAAAAGCAAAAGAGCCUUUAUUCGAGCUAGCUCGAGCUCAAUCCCCUACCUGCACCGACACAGCGGUGAGAUACCAGGGAGAGAGAGCGAGUUUCAAAAGCACAAAGGUUUUAUAGGGGUCUAGGGGCAGUUGGUGAGGUAACGGCUGUGGGCUCAGCCGAUUGGCUGGGGAAGGGUUGUGGCCUCGGCUGAUUGGCUGGGGAAGGGUCGGCGUCCUGUUACGCAGGUCGCUGGGUGUGUUUUGAUCAGGAAGUUUGAACGGGUGAGCGGGAGGUUACUCAAGGGGAGGAGGCGCGGUCUGAGGUUUCUUCGUUUUCCCGGAAAAGGGGUCAUGUCUGGGACAUAGUCACUCAAGGUGGAGGACACAGAGCAAGAUGGAGUCGGCCGGCGUAGGCCCACCCUUUCAGCCGCUCUUGUCCAAAGUCCUGGAGCGCUGAGGAAGAGAACAGAAGCCUGAGAGGGGAAGUUACUUUUGUUCUUCCAGUAUCAAUAGAUCAACUAGAUGGCCCCCAAGAGGAACCACUGGCACCACGUCUGAGGGGGAGCUGGAACGCAGGUGUUCAUGCCGAGUCCAGGAAUGCCGGUUGGAAGGGAGAGAUGGUUGUGUGCACAGAUGAUUUAUCCUGGAGUGGAGGUCACUUGAGGUGUGCCUGGUACCGGCCACAAUGUGAAAAUAACACAGCACAAGCUCCGUUGAGCUCCUGGCACAGACCAGCCACUAUUCUAGGAACUCUGGAGGCAAACAUAAGACAGAUAUUCUCCACGUUUAGAAGACAGUCAGGUGGAAGAUACUGGGACGGUGGAGUGCCUGCGUUUAAGAGGAAGAUUUAUUGGACUCGCGGCAUCCACUGUGAACCUUCUACAGCCGCAUUAGCUAACAUCUGUUGGAAAAUGUCAGGAUGCGGGGCUGAAGACAUGCACGCAGGAUGUAUGCUUUCGGGAGCUGGAACAACAAACCGGAAGCAUGGGCAGCCCUUGCAAGCUAAAUUAAUUAGCGAUGGGACCUGUGUCUGC
rnacentral:lncRNA from 1 species